rnacentral:tRNA from 1 species
GAGGGUAUAGCUCAGUGGUAGUUCACGUGUUUAGCAUGCAUGAGGUCCUGGGUUCAAUCCCCAGUACCAUCA